AAGGAGACGGGGACGAGGUCGGGCAUGCGAGGGGUUGAGUCCGCAUAGAAAAAGAUUCCCUAUGCGGGUGCCCUUCCCAUGCACUGCCUCUUCCCUGGCUCCUU
rnacentral:pre_miRNA from 1 species